AGCUCCAAUAGCGUAUAUUAAAGUUGUUGCAGUUAAAAAGCUCGUAGUUGGAUUUGUGACUUGCGGUGGGUUCCGGGCACUUGUUGUCCGAGUAAUUCGCCGCGGUCAUCCUUGGGUGGAGCCCGUGUGGCAUUAGGUUGUCGUGCGGGGGAUGCCCAUCGUUUACUGUGAAAAAAUUAGAGUGUUCAAAGCAGGCUUAUGCCGUUGAAUAUAUUAGCAUGGAAUAAUAAAAUAGGACUUUGUCGCUAUUUUGUUGGUUUGCGCGAUGAGGUAAUGAUUAAUAGGGACAGUUGGGGGUAUUCGUAUUCCAUUGUCAGAGGUGAAAUUCUUGGAUUUCUGGAAGACGAACUACUGCGAAAGCAUUUACCAAGGAUGUUUUCA
rnacentral:rRNA from 1 species